rnacentral:rRNA from 1 species
AUACGUAGGUGGCGAGCGUUGUCCGGAUUCAUUGGGUUUAAAGGGUGCGUAGGCGGCCUAUUAAGUCAGUGCUGAAAGCCCCCGGCUUAACCGGGGAGGUGGCAUUGAUACUGGUUGGCUUGAGUGCUGUCGAGGCAGGCGGAAUUGACGGUGUAGCGGUGAAAUGCUUAGAUAUCGUCAGGAACACCGAUAGUGAAGACAGCUUGCCAGAGAGCAACUGACGCUGAGGCACGAAAGUGUGGGGAGCAAACAGGAUUAGAUACCCUGGUAGUCCACACUGUAAACGAUGAUGACUCGCUGUUGGCGAUAUACGGUCAGCGGCUAAGAGAAAUCGUUAAGUCAUCCACCUGGGGAGUACGCCGGCAACGGUGAA